rnacentral:rRNA from 1 species
UACGUAGGGGGCAAGCGUUAUCCGGAAUGAUUGGGCGUAAAGCGUCCGCAGGUGGCAGUUCAAGUCUGCUGUCAAAGACCGGGGCUUAACUUCGGAAAGGCAGUGGAAACUGAACAGCUAGAGUAUGGUAGGGGCAGAGGGAAUUCCUGGUGUAGCGGUGAAAUGCGUAGAGAUCAGGAAGAACAUCGGUGGCGAAGGCGGUUCUCUGGGCAUUACCUGACGCUGAGGAGCGAAAGUGUGGGGAGCGAACAGG